UACGUAGGGGGCAAGCGUUGUCCGGAAUCAUUGGGCGUAAAGCGCGUGUAGGCGGCCCGGUAAGUCCGCUGUGAAAGUCCAGGGCUCAACCCUGGAAUGCCGGUGGAUACUGUCGGGCUCGAGUCCGGAAGAGGCGAGUGGAAUUCCUGGUGUAGCGGUGAAAUGCGCAGAUAUCAGGAGGAACACCGAUGGCGAAGGCAGCUCGCUGGGACGGUACUGACGCUGAGGAGCGAAAGCGUGGGGAGCGAACAGG
rnacentral:rRNA from 1 species